rnacentral:rRNA from 1 species
GAGUUUGAUCCUGGCUCAGGAUGAACGCUAGCGGCAGGCUUAACACAUGCAAGUCGAGGGGUAACGGGGAAGCUUGCUUCCGCCGACGACCGGCGCACGGGUGCGUAACGCGUAUACAAUCUACCUUGUACUGGGGUAUAGCCUUUAGAAAUGAAGAUUAACCCCCCAUAGUCUCUUAGAGUGGCAUCACUUCUAGAGUAAAGGUUACGGUAUAAGAUGAGUAUGCGUUCUAUUAGUUUGUUGGUGUGGUAACGGCACACCAAGACUACGAUAGAUAGGGGCCCUGAGAGGGGGAUCCCCCACACUGGUACUGAGACACGGACCAGACUCCUACGGGAGGCAGCAGUGAGGAAUAUUGGACAAUGGAGGCAACUCUGAUCCAGCCAUGCCGCGUGCAGGAAGACUGCCCUAUGGGUUGUAAACUGCUUUUAUACAGGAAGAAACACCUCUACGUGUAGAGGCUUGACGGUACUGUAAGAAUAAGGAUCGGCUAACUCCGUGCCAGCAGCCGCGGUAAUACGGAGGAUCCAAGCGUUAUCCGGAAUCAUUGGGUUUAAAGGGUCCGUAGGUGGAUAAUUAAGUCAGAGGUGAAAUCUUGCAGCUCAACUGUAAAAUUGCCUUUGAAACUGGUUAUCUUGAGUUAUUAUGAAGUAGUUAGAAUAUGUAGUGUAGCGGUGAAAUGCAUAGAUAUUACAUAGAAUACCAAUUGCGAAGGCAGAUUACUAAUAAUCAACUGACACUGAUGGACGAAAGCGUGGGUAGCGAACAGGAUUAGAUACCCUGGUAGUCCACGCCGUAAACGAUGGUUACUAGCUGUUUGGACUUCGGUCUGAGUGGCUAAGCGAAAGUGAUAAGUAACCCACCUGGGGAGUACGUUCGCAAGAAUGAAACUCAAAGGAAUUGACGGGGGCCCGCACAAGCGGUGGAGCAUGUGGUUUAAUUCGAUGAUACGCGAGGAACCUUACCAGGGCUUAAAUGUAAGUUGCAUUAGUUAGAGAUAGCUAUUUCUUCGGACCACUUACAAGGUGCUGCAUGGUUGUCGUCAGCUCGUGCCGUGAGGUGUCAGGUUAAGUCCUAUAACGAGCGCAACCCCUGUUGUUAGUUGCCAGCGAGUCAUGUCGGGAACUCUAACAAGACUGCCAGUGCAAACUGUGAGGAAGGUGGGGAUGACGUCAAAUCAUCACGGCCCUUACGUCCUGGGCCACACACGUGCUACAAUGGUAGGUACAGAGAGCAGCCACUGCGCGAGCAGGAGCGAAUCUACAAAACCUAUCACAGUUCGGAUCGGAGUCUGCAACUCGACUCCGUGAAGCUGGAAUCGCUAGUAAUCGGAUAUCAGCCAUGAUCCGGUGAAUACGUUCCCGGGCCUUGUACACACCGCCCGUCAAGCCAUGGAAGCUGGGGGUGCCUGAAGUCGGUUACCGCAAGGAGCCGCCUAGGGUAAAACUGGUAACUAGGGCUAAGUCGUAACAAGGUAGCCGUACCGGAAGGUGCGGCU